rnacentral:rRNA from 1 species
AUGCUAAUACCGCAUACGUCCUACGGGAGAAAGCAGGGGAUCUUCGGACCUUGCGCUAAUAGAUGAGCCUAAGUCGGAUUAGCUAGUUGGUGGGGUAAAGGCCUACCAAGGCGACGAUCUGUAGCGGGUCUGAGAGGAUGAUCCGCCACACUGGGACUGAGACACGGCCCAGACUCCUACGGGAGGCAGCAGUGGGGAAUAUUGGACAAUGGGCGCAAGCCUGAUCCAGCCAUGCCGCGUGUGUGAAGAAGGCCUUAUGGUUGUAAAGCACUUUAAGCGAGGAGGAGGCUACUUUAGAUAAUACCUAGAGAUAGUGGACGUUACUCGCAGAAUAAGCACCGGCUAACUCUGUGCCAGCAGCCGCGGUAAUACAGAGGGUGCAAGCGUUAAUCGGAUUUACUGGGCGUAAAGCGCGCGUAGGCGGCUAAUUAAGUCAAAUGUGAAAUCCCCGAGCUUAACUUGGGAAUUGCAUUCGAUACUGGUUAGCUAGAGUGUGGGAGAGGAUGGUAGAAUUCCAGGUGUAGCGGUGAAAUGCGUAGAGAUCUGGAGGAAUACCGAUGGCGAAGGCAGCCAUCUGGCCUAACACUGACGCUGAGGUGCGAAAGCAUGGGGAGCAAACAGGAUUAGAUACCCUGGUAGUCCAUGCCGUAAACGAUGUCUACUAGCCGUUGGGGCCUUUGAGGCUUUAGUGGCGCAGCUAACGCGAUAAGUAGACCGCCUGGGGAGUACGGUCGCAAGACUAAAACUCAAAUGAAUUGACGGGGGCCCGCACAAGCGGUGGAGCAUGUGGUUUAAUUCGAUGCAACGCGAAGAACC